rnacentral:rRNA from 1 species
UACAGAGGGUGCGAGCGUUGUUCGGAAUUAUUGGGCGUAAAGGGCGCGUAGGCGGUGCGGUAAGUCACCUGUGAAAUCUCCUGGCUCAACUGGGAGCUUGCAGGCGAAACUGCCGUGCUGGAGUGUGGGAGAGGUGCGUGGAAUUCCUGGUGUAGCGGUGAAAUGCGUAGAUAUCAGGAGGAACACCUGUGGCGAAAGCGGCGCACUGGACCACAACUGACGCUGAGACGCGAAAGCCAGGGGAGCGAACGGG